GACGGUGAGCUUGGGGUAUCAGUAAGAGCGAAACCAUUUGUGGGGUCCGAUUCAAUAGCAUUAAGACAAGCACAAAAUGAAAAGUUUACACGAAAAGAAAAAAACUUUAAAGCUGAACUUUUAUGGGGCAUGUCGAGCAACUUCGCUGAAGAAACGGAACUCGGGCGAUUGGGAGGAAAGAGGCGUCGAAAAGUUGGCGAUGGAAUACGCAUUUUCAGGGCAAUAAAGUCGCAUUCCAUGAAUCAGAACUCUAAGACUCGCUUCUUGAAAAAUUUUCCCGCGUCAAGCGACCGCGUAUGAACUCGAAGCUAGCAGAGUUGCCUAGUGAUAUCUUAUGCCAGAGCAAGGGGGAUUGGUCCA
rnacentral:misc_RNA from 1 species